rnacentral:rRNA from 1 species
AGUGUACGCUGGCGGUAGGCCUAACACAUGCAAGUCGAACGGCAGCACAGUAAGAGCUUGCUCUUACGGGUGGCGAGUGGCGGACGGGUGAGGAAUACAUCGGAAUCUACUUUUUCGUGGGGGAUAACGUAGGGAAACUUACGCUAAUACCGCAUACGACCUACGGGUGAAAGCAGGGGAUCUUCGGACCUUGCGCGAUUGAAUGAGCCGAUGUCGGAUUAGCUAGUUGGCGGGGUAAAGGCCCACCAAGGCGACGAUCCGUAGCUGGUCUGAGAGGAUGAUCGGCCACACUGGAACUGAGACACGGUCCAGACUCCUUCGGGAGGCAGCAGUGGGGAAUAUUGGACAAUGGGCGCAAGCCUGAUCCAGCCAUACCGCGUGGGUGAAGAAGGCCUUCGGGUUGUAAAGCCCUUUUGUUGGGAAAGAAAAGCAGCAGGUUAAUACCCCGCUGUUCUGACGGUACCCAAAGAAUAAGCACCGGCUAACUUCGUG